rnacentral:rRNA from 1 species
UGCCAGCCGCCGCGGUAAUACGGGAGUGGCAAGCGUUAUCCGGAAUUACUGGGCGUAAAGCGUACGUAGGCGGAUUAAUAAGUUAGAGGUGAAAUCCCGGGGCUCAACCCCGGAACUGCCUUUGAUACUGGUAGUCUAGAGUUCGAGAGAGGUGAGUGGAAUUCCGAGUGUAGAGGUGAAAUUCGUAGAUAUUCGGAGGAACACCAGUGGCGAAGGCGGCUCACUGGCUCGAUACUGACGCUGAGGUGCGAAAGCGUGGGGAGCAAACAGGAUUAGAUA